GAGGCAGCAGUGGGGAAUCUUAGACAAUGGGCGCAAGCCUGAUCUAGCCAUGCCGCGUGUGUGAUGAAGGUCUUAGGAUCGUAAAGCACUUUCGCCAGGGAUGAUAAUGACAGUACCUGGUAAAGAAACCCCGGCUAACUCCGUGCCAGCAGCCGCGGUAAUACGGAGGGGGUUAGCGUUGUUCGGAAUUACUGGGCGUAAAGCGUACGUAGGCGGAUUGGAAAGUUGGGGGUGAAAUCCCAGGGCUCAACCCUGGAACUGCCUCCAAAACUAUCAGUCUAGAGUUCGAGAGAGGUGAGUGGAAUUCCAAGUGUAGAGGUGAAAUUCGUAGAUAUUUGGAGGAACACCAGUGGCGAAGGCGGCUCACUGGCUCGAUACUGACGCUGAGGUACGAAAGUGUGGGGAGCAAACAGGAUUAGAUACCCUGGUAGUCCACACCGUAAACGAUGAAUGCCAGUCGUCGGGCAGUAUACUGUUCGGUGGCACACCUAACGGAUUAAGCAUUCCGCCUGGGGA
rnacentral:rRNA from 1 species